AUGCAUCUGAACCCACAUUUUCUGUGGGCCCGUGUCACUGACUUUUUGGCUGCAGAGGAACGGGAGGAACCCACUGGAAAACCAACAGAGGAGGAAGGCUCAGAGCCCUGGGAUUGGUGGUGGGGCGACGAUGCAAGUGGUCAGAGGGAGAAGACUAGGAAGAGGAGGUUUCGGAAGAGGAAGAGGUCACAGGGUUUAGUGAGCUGGGAGAGUCGGUGGCAGAGAGGAGUCCAGAAUCAGAGGCAGGAGAGUGGAAUGAGGGAGGCCAAGAGGCGGAGAUACAUCAGGCUGGUGAAGAGUCACAGGUGUCUCUCCCACCCGCUGCGACAAGCUCCCUUCCCCACUUGUCUCCCAGAACCAGAAGAGGCAUGAAAAAGGCGGAGGAGAGGCUCGCUGCACACAGGCGCAGUCUCUGAUUGCUUGGGGAAAGCCCUGGGGAGUAGGAGACUUAACUGACGGCUGUGGAGAGGCAGGGAUUUCAGUCCUGGCAACUGAUUUUCACAGAGUAAGGCUACUGCAUUACUCAGCUCAAUGGACCAGUGGUCUGACUGCAUGACAGCUUCUGACACUGAUUUGUGGAAUAGUGAGGGGGGGGGAAUGCCUCCAGUUUGCCUCUUGCAACGUGGUGUGAGGCACUUUUUCUUCCCUCAGUCAACCGUUCCAAGGCAGUCUCCUCGAGAAUCUGCUGGGCAAACAAUAAGCGGAGGAAUAAUGAGGAAACGAAACUUAAUAUUUCAACUGACUGCGAAAGUGAUGGAUGACACUUUCGAAAGAAAAGAAUAAGAUAGAAGGUUUGUGUGCACAGAGAGAGAUGGGAAGGGAACUGGCAGUGAGCCCCUCAUUUACCGACACACCACAAUUUCCACUUUUUUUCCAAUCACGACUUGGGGAGCCAACUUCCUUUGAUCCACACAAUUCAGCCCUUGAGCCAAUUUUAGGCUGUGUACACACCAUACAAUUAAAGCCCAGUUCUCCCCGCCUUGAAAAAAGAAAUCACAAAGAAAAUGAUGCAUAAUUUGAGAUUGCGAACAACUGGUUUUCACAGAGUAAGGCUACUGCGAAUGAGCUCCUUUGCUUAUUAGGCCUGACAUUCAACCACAUCUGUGGCGAUCAUGCUUUUGCUAAUAAAGAGAUAACUCCAACUUUGAACAAUGUGAUUACUGACCAGCACAGUCCUGUAAGUGGAGCAGGAACGGGGUGGGAUGGCAGAAACAGAAACAUUCUCAGUGGCCAGAGAUCCCCUAGUAUCUGUGGGGCAGAAGGGAAUGGAAAGCUGGAGGGGAAUGGAAUGGAGAAUUGCCCUCAGACCAGCUCCUGUCUCCUCAGCCUGACCUACCACACAGGGUUGUUGGGAGGAUGGCGGGUUGAAGACCACGUUGGCCAUUUUGAACUCCUUAGUGGAAAAGUCUGAUGUGCUUGUAAGUAAAAAAACUUGCUGACGCAGUUGGAAGCCUGCGGACCACAUUUCUGUCCCAU
rnacentral:lncRNA from 1 species